CCUACGGGCGGCAGCAGUGGGGAAUAUUUCACAAUGGGGGAAACCCUGAUGCAGCGACGCCGCGUGAGUGAAGAAGUAAUUCGUUAUGUAAAGCUCUAUCAGCAGGGAAGACAAUGACGUUACCUGAGUAAGAAGCCCCUGCUAACUACGUGACAGCAGCCGCGGUAAUACGUAGGGUGCAAGCUUUAUCCGGAUUUACGGGGGGUAAAGGGAGCGUGGACGGCAGUGCAUGUCUGGAGUGAAUGGAGGGGGCUCAACCACCGGACUGCUCUGGAAACUGUACGGCUGGAGUGCAGGAGAGGGAAGUGGAAUUCCUAGUGUAGCGGUGAAAUGCGUAGAUAGUAGGAGGAACACCAGUGGCGAAGGCGGCUUACUGGACUGUAACGGACGUUGAGGCUCGAAAGCGUGGGAAGCAAACAGGAUUAGAUACCCUGGUAGUC
rnacentral:rRNA from 1 species